GCGUUGUCCGGAUUCACUGGGUGUAAAGGGUGCGCAGGCGGGUUGGCAAGUCAGAGGUGAAAUCUCACAGCUUAACUGUGAAACUGCCUUUGAUACUUCCAAUCUUGAGUUAAAGAGAGGUUGAUGGAAUUUCAGGUGUAGCGGUGAAAUGCGUAGAUAUCUGAAAGAACACCAGUGGCGAAGGCGGUCAACUGGCUUUUAACUGACGCUCUGGCACGAAAGCGUG
rnacentral:rRNA from 1 species